rnacentral:rRNA from 1 species
GACGAACGCUGGCGGCGUGCUUAACACAUGCAAGUCGAACGGAAAGGCCCUGCUUUUGUGGGGUGCUCGAGUGGCGAACGGGUGAGUAACACGUGAGUAACCUGCCCUUGACUUUGGGAUAACUUCAGGAAACUGGGGCUAAUACCGGAUAGGAGCUCCUGCUGCAUGGUGGGGGUUGGAAAGUUUCGGCGGUUGGGGAUGGACUCGCGGCUUAUCAGCUUGUUGGUGGGGUAGUGGCUUACCAAGGCUUUGACGGGUAGCCGGCCUGAGAGGGUGACCGGCCCCAUUGGGACGGGGUAACGGCCCGGACCCCUACGGGGGGCAGCAGGGGGGAAUAUUGCACAAGGGGCGGAAGCCUGAUGCAGCAACCCCGGGUGGGGGAUGACGGCCUUCGGGUUGUAAACCGCUUUCGCCUGUGACGAAGGGUGGGUGACGGUAAUGGGUAAAGAAGCACCGGCUAACUACGU